UACGAGGGGGGGCAAAUGUUGUUCGGAAUCACUGGGCUUAAAGGGUGCGUAGGCGGCCAUUUAAGUAGGGUGUGAAAUGCCAGAGCUCAACUUUGGCAUUGCGCUCUAGACUGAAUGGCUUGAGUGAGAUAGGGGUGUGCGGAACGUUCCAGUGGAGCGGUGAAAUGUGUUGAUAUUGGAAGGAACGCCGGUGGCGAAAGCGGCAGCACUGGGUCUUAACUGACGCUGAGGCACGAAAGCCAGGGGAGCGAACGGG
rnacentral:rRNA from 1 species